AAAAAGACAAACCCUGAUUUCCGUGCCCAACUUUUGACCGUCCGUCUUAUUUAAAAAAAUUAUGAAAAAAAUUAAAAAGACAAGUCACGUAUAAAAUAUUAAUCAUGUUUUAUCAUCUAACAACAAUAAAAAUACGAAUUAUAAAAAAAUUUCAUAUAAGACGGACAGUCAAAGUUGAACACGAAAACCCAGAGUUUGUCUUUUU
rnacentral:pre_miRNA from 1 species